rnacentral:rRNA from 1 species
CCUACGGGCGGCAGCAGUCGAGAAUCAUUCACAAUGGGGGAAACCCUGAUGGUGCGACGCCGCGUGGGGGAAUGAAGGUCUUCGGAUUGUAAACCCCUGUCAUGUGGGAGCAAAUUAAAAAGAUAGUACCACAAGAGGAAGAGACGGCUAACUCUGUGCCAGCAGCCGCGGUAAUACAGAGGUCUAAAGCGUUGUUCGGAAUCACUGGGCGUAAAGCGUGCGUAGGCUGUUUCGUAAGUCGUGUGUGAAAGGCCCGGGCUCAACCCGCGGACGGCACAUGAUACUGCGAGACUAGAGUAAUGGAGGGGGAACCGGAAUUCUCGGUGUAGCAGUGAAAUGCGUAGAUAUCGAGAGGAACACUCGUGGCGAAGGCGGGUUCCUGGACAUUAACUGACGCUGAGGCACGAAGGCUAGGGGAGCGAAAGGGAUUAGAUACCCGAGUAGUC